rnacentral:rRNA from 2 species
CAGUCGAGCGAACAGAUGAGAAGCUUGCUUCUCUGAUGUUAGCGGCGGACGGGUGAGUAACACGUGGGUAACCUACCUAUAAGACUGGGAUAACUCCGGGAAACCGGGGCUAAUACCUGAUAAUAUUUUGAACCGCAUGGUUCAAUAGUGAAAGACGGCUUCGGCUGUCACUUAUAGAUGGACCCGCGCCGUAUUAGCUAGUUGGUAAGGUAAUGGCUUACCAAGGCGACGAUACGUAGCCGACCUGAGAGGGUGAUCGGCCACACUGGAACUGAGACACGGUCCAGACUCCUACGGGAGGCAGCAGUAGGGAAUCUUCCGCAAUGGGCGAAAGCCUGACGGAGCAACGCCGCGUGAGUGAUGAAGGUCUUAGGAUCGUAAAACUCUGUUGUUAGGGAAGAACAAAUUUGUUAGUAACUGAACAAGUCUUGACGGUACCUAACCAGAAAGCCACGGCUAACUACGUGCCAGCAGCCGCGGUAAUACGUAGGUGGCAAGCGUUAUCCGGAAUUAUUGGGCGUAAAGCGCGCGUAGGCGGUUUCUUAAGUCUGAUGUGAAAGUCCACGGCUCAACCGUGGAAGGUCAUUGGAAACUGGGGAACUUGAGUGCAGAAGAGGAGAGUGGAAUUCCAUGUGUAGCGGUGAAAUGCGCAGAGAUAUGGAGGAACACCAGUGGCGAAGGCGGCUCUCUGGUCUGUAACUGACGCUGAUGUGCGAAAGCGUGGGGAUCAAACAGGAUUAGAUACCCUGGUAGUCCACGCCGUAAACGAUGAGUGCUAAGUGUUAGGGGGUUUCCGCCCC